rnacentral:rRNA from 1 species
GCUCCAAUAGCGUAUAUUAAAGUUGUUGCAGUUAAAAAGCUCGUAGUUGGAUUUUGGAAUAAGCUAGUUGGUCCGCCGCAAGGCGAGAACUGAUGGGCAUAUUCUUCCUCUCGAAGACGCUGCGUAUGGUUCAUUCCGUGUGUAGUGGGUUCGGGACUUUACUGUGAAAAAAUUAGAGUGUUCAAAGCAGGCUAUCGCUU